UUAGAAGACCUUGUCACUGGGGUAUAUUUCCCAGGUGCCCUUGCAGGGUUGGCGAACAUGAAGAAGUCUGGCAUGAGAGCCGAGUGGCCAUCUGUGGCCAGCAGGGACUCUGCACGUCCAUCUUCACUGGGUCCUUCACUGGGUUAUGAAAGCAACGCUGGAGACAAGCGCACCUCUGAAAAUCUCAGCUGGGCAGACUGAAUCAUCAGAAUUCCUAAUUUCCACCAUCAAAUCCACAACAUGGUAUCAGAACUAAUAAAUUGAAUGGUAAGAACAUUCAUCAAGAUGAAAGUGAAUCCCAAGUCUUUCAUUUUGCUUGCUUCUGCUGAAGUCCAGCCAGGCUUGUGCUAACUGGUGUUUUUCAUCCUUCUACAAGGAGACGUCCUUGUGAUUAUUCAAUACUGGACAGUCUCAAGUAUAACUUAAAAUACAGUUUUCCUCAAACUAAAUUAGGAGUCCUGAGAAAAUGCAUUUAUUAAAUAUAUGCAGUGUCCCAAAAUCUGUAGUGGUGGGAAUGGAGGUUUCUCUUGCAAUGUGUAUUCAAAUGGGGGAGAGAAACAAGUGUAAAUACAAUCUCAGGUGACA